rfam:Archeaon Loki Lokiarch_contig000108, whole genome shotgun sequence.
GCGAGCCCCGUGCGGGGAAACUCGCACGCGGGGUUCCUAAAAGAGGAAGAGGAUAGUAAUAUCCUCUCCUUAUUUAAC